CCGUGCCCGCGGCCGCUGGCGGCUCCCUCUUCGGGGGCUCGUUCGGCGCCGCGUCUGGCCCAACCGUGUCUAUCUAUACCUGUUGCUUCGGCGGGCCUGCGGGCUCUGUUCGCUGCCGGGGGCCCCUGAGGCUCCGGGCUCGUGCCCGCCGAAGACGCCUGGAACUACUGUCGAAGUUAGCGGUCUGAGUGGGCUUGAUAAUCGUUA
rnacentral:misc_RNA from 1 species